rnacentral:misc_RNA from 1 species
UAUUCAUUUAUUAUUUUUUAUCAACUAGGAGUUAACAUUGAUAAUAAAUAAAUAAAAAAUGAAUUAUUUCGUGGACCUCCAAACCGAAAAUAGGCAGCAUACACAAGAACCCAACUCAAACCCCAUUUUUCAAGAACUGGGAAAGACGCAAAAGACCCAGGAACAUAGGCGUGAACAGUGAAGGACAUGUAAAUAAAAUCACCGCAAACUAAUGCAACAGGAGAAGCACCGAAGCAUUAAGGGGAGACCUUAAGGGGAGACCCAAAGGUGCAGCAAAAUCAAGCUUUAUUAACAAUUUGAAGAAAGAAAGGGUGGACAGAGGCAGAGCUCUGAGCUAACCCCAAACUAAGGAGCAACUGCCACCUCACCCAUCGUUCAAUUGCAGGACAAUUAUUUGAAGGCAUUGUAUUUAUCGGAACAAGCUGGUUAUGCGGCACUCGGCAAGGCUGGAAAAGCCAACAUUACUGAUAUUCUACGAUCCCAAGCUGCUGCAGAGUGGCAGCAACCUGAAGUCCCUCAAUGGACAAGAGACACAUGCAUUAGCAAGAAAGCAAAGGACCAUGGCGUGCUCACAGGGUGAGCUCCUUGCAAAAAAUAAUGAAUCUCAAUCUAAAAAAUUCAGAAACCUGAAUACUUACAAUUCCUGGACAGAUAAAAGGAAAAAAGCAAAAAGCCAGAAAACAAGUAACUCUUGCAAAUGACACUCACUGGGCAGUUCACCCCUAAUCAUGGUGACAGAUAACACUGAUUCUCAUCCCCCUCAACCACCAAGGAAAACAGUUAUGGGACGUAAAAAUGAGCCUUGCAAGAUUUUUCCAGCCUGUUGAUAAAAAUUCCACCCCCAUUUCAUUUUCUCUUAAUUAUCAGCCCAGAAAGAGUAGUAUUCCUAGGCUUAACAUUAGUGCUAAGACAAAUCCAAAUUGUAUAAUAACCUGCAACAUCUAUAUAGAAGCACAUUUUAACAACUGCACUUCAAUAAAAGAACCAGCAGGAGCUUCUCAAGAAAAAAAUUUAGAUUGAAGAGAUAACUACGUACCCCUUGGAAAUGCAGAGAGACUUCUCUUGGUGAUGUGAAGAGGUUCUGGAACCAGAUUCUUGUCUAAUCUAAAGAUGCAAUUUGGGAAAACCCUGCCUACAACAACGUUUGGAUGUGAGCAAUUUUGGGCCAGUCCUCCCGUGUUUUUGUCCCCUCUUUGAAAGUCAACGACGGGCAAAUACUUUAACAUGGUCAAUCAUAAAUAAUUUUUAGAUCUUGGCGAGAGGUAAGUCUUUUCAACAACUCAUUUGGCAUAAAUUCUGGUUCCACAAUAGUUUGCAUUUCAAUCCUUUUCAAUUGUGAGAGAGCGGUGGGAAUUGAAGAAGAGGAAGAAGAAGGGGUAGGUUCUGAUGCCGAAAUCCACACUUCCAAUGUCUGCUCCAACGGCCUGACGCUGGCUCUUUCUAGAUGAAGUUGUUCAAGGGAUGGAAAAGUUGGCAUCGAAGUCAAGUUAGGGCAAUCAUGGAUCGACAGCUUCGAAAGAGAAAUAAACCAGGGCAACUUUCCUAUUGAUGGCGAAGACAAUGAUAAUGAUGUGCGUGUGGUUGCAUCGUUCCUGUUGUAUCUCUUCCAUCCUUCAAAAUUAGGGCACUUUAACAGAUAAAGCUCCUUUAGGCAAGGAUUAAAUAAUUUUCAUCACUAUCUAUGUACUCUAGAUUAGGUAAUUCUCGAAUUCUCAAAAUCUCAAGAGAAUUAAAGUGAUCAAAUGGGGGGAGAUGUUGUAUGUUUUUGCAAGAAAAUAAUUCAAGCUCCACCAAAUUUACGAGGGAAGGAAGCCAUCUAGGAGAAUCGACUCCUCUAUAAGCAAACAAGAAUAGGCAUUGGAGAUUUUAGCGGGCCUUAGCACAUCCAAUGCCAUUUCUUCAUUUCUAAGCUCUUAGGCAUCAAUUUUAUAAUAAUCAUCAUCGUUGUCAUCAUCACUGACACCAAAAAUAUACGAUUCAUUGCCAUCCACUUGGUACUCUAUGACCCAUUCUAGUCUCAAGGACUGGAGAUAUUGCUUCUCUUCCAAAUUGGCAGCACGAAAUUCAGAUGCACCAUUUUUUACUACAUAUCUCAAAUUUCUUAUUAUUAGCUCUCCUCUCAAUUUGUUUAACUCAUGUAAUUCAUCCAGUCCGGCGAAAAGCUUGGAGGAGGAACCAUUUUUGGGUGCUACAAAUGCAUGUAAUUAGCAAGGCGAGUCAAUUCUCCAAUCCCAAUUGGCAUACGACUAAAAUUACACCGAUAAAAGCUAAGAUGCCUGAGAUCGACCAACUUUUUAAUGUCCUUUGGUAGUCCUUGGAGUAUACCACAAUAGUCCAAUAUCAGCACUUGUAGGUUCUGUAAUCUAACUAUUGAAUCUGGCAGUCUUACAAGGUGAUCGUUACUCCUAAUAAUCAGAACUUGCAACUUCUGUAAUCUGGCAAUUGAAUCUGGAAGCUCGAUGAUUCCAACGAAGGAAAGAUCAAGAUACCUCAAAUGCUUCAAAUUGUAAAUGGAACUCGGCACUUCCCUUCUGUAAUCGCCUAGAUCCACCACUCGUAAACAUUCAAAUUCAGGAAAGAUUUGGUUUUCCCAAUUGCAUUUGUUCUGUUUAUCCAAAAGGACCGUUCUCGCCUUCUUUGCAUUGAAAGAGUUUCUUGGAAGAUAGUCAAUAUCAAAUGAUAUUUGUCGUGUUGUUUUCUCAACACAUCCAUUUGAUUUUGAUAAAGUGACUAUCUCUUCUCCAGCAACUAAUAUAGCUAGAUCAUGCAUCAAAUCAUGCAU